AGCAGCCGCGGUAAUUCCAGCUCCAAUAGCGUAUAUUAAAGUUGUUGCAGUUAAAAAGACUCGUAGUUGAAUUUCGGGGUUAGUAGGUUGGUCAUGCCUCUGGUAUGUACUGGUCUCACUGAUUCCUCCUUCCUGAUGAGCCUUAAUGCCAUUAAUUUGGUGUUUUGGGGAAUUUGGACUGUUACUUUGAAAAAAUUAGAGUAGUUUAAAGCAAGCUAACGCUUGAAUACAUUAGCAUGGAAUAAUGAAAUAGGACGUUCGAUCCUAUUUUGUUGGUUUCUAGGAUUGACGUAAUGAUUAAUAGGGAUAGUUGGGGGGCAUUAGUAUUCAAUUGUCAGAGGUGAAAUUCUUGGAUUUAUUGAAGACUAACUACUGCGAAAGCAUUUGCCAAGGAUGUUUUCAUUAAUCAAGAACGAAAGUUAGGGGGAUCGAAGACGAUCAGAUACCGUCGUAGUCUUAACCCAUAAACUAUGCCGACUAGGGAUCGGAUGAUGUUAAUUUUUAAUGACUCAUUCGGCGC
rnacentral:rRNA from 1 species